rnacentral:misc_RNA from 1 species
GAAAUGCGAUAAGUAAUGUGAAUUGCAGAAUUCCGUGAAUCAUCGAAUCUUUGAACGCACAUUGCGCCCUCUGGCAUUCCGGGGGGCAUGCCUGUCCGAGCGUCAUUACGCACCCUCAAGCCCGGCUUGUGUGAUGGGCCCCGCCGUCUCGUUCGCGAGACGGGCCCGAAAGGCAGCGGCGGCGUCAACCCGAUGAGCCCGAGCGUAUGGGGACUUUUGUCACACGUUCGCGGUGCGGACCGGCGCCUGCUUUGACUUUUAAUUUCUAGGUUGACCUCGGAUCAGGUAGGGAUACCCGCUGAACUUAAGCAUAUCAAUAAGCGGAGGACUCUCUC